GUGAGGAAUAUUGCGCAAUGGAGGCAACUCUGACGCAGCCAUGCCGCGUGCCGGAAGAAGGCCCUCAGGGUUGUAAACGGCUUUUGACGGUGAAGAAUCGACAGGAUGCGUCCUGUUUUGAUGGUAGCCGUUGAAUAAGCACCGGCUAACUCCGUGCCAGCAGCCGCGGUAAUACGGAGGGUGCGAGCGUUGUCCGGAUUUAUUGGGUUUAAAGGGUGCGUAGGCUGGAAGGUCAGUCAGCGGUGAAAAGCUGUCGCUUAACGAUAGUCUUGCCGAAGAUACUUCCUUUCUUGGAUGAGGAGGAGGCCACUGGAACGGAUGGUGUAGCGGUGAAAUGCAUAGAUAUCAUCCAGAACACCGAUUGCGAAGGCAGGUGGAUGUACCUUAAUCGACGCUGAUGCACGAAAGCAUGGGGAGCAAACAGGAUUAGAUACCCGGGUAGUCC
rnacentral:rRNA from 1 species